rnacentral:rRNA from 1 species
GAUGAACGCUGGCGGCGUGCCUAAUACAUGCAAGUCGAACGAAGAGGUGAGGAGCUUGCUCCUCUGACGUGAGCGGCGGACGGGUGAGUAACGCGUAGAUAACCUACCUUUUAGACUGGGAUAACUACGGGAAACGGUAGCUAAUACCGGAUAAUAUAUUGUACCACAUGGUUCAUUAGUGAAAGACGGUUUUGCUGUAACAUAUGGAGGGAUUGGCUCCGCAUUAGCUAGUUGGUAAGGUAACGGGCUCCCAAGGGACCGAUGCGUAGCCGACCUGAGAGGGUGAUGGCCCACACGGGAACGGAGACCGGCCCCAGACUCCUACGGGAGGAAGAAGAAGGGAAUCUCGGGAAAGGGGGCAAAGCUGGCCGAGGAACGCCGGGGUAGGGAAUGAGGGUCUCGGGACCUAAAGACUUUUUGUUUGGGAAAGAACAAAUGGGUAAGUAAAUAUGCACGUCUUGACGGUACCUAAUCAGAAAGCCACGGCUAACUACGUG